rnacentral:pre_miRNA from 1 species
AUUCUACUCCCUCCGUUGCACAAUACUACAUGCCUUCUAUUUGUCAAGAUAUAUAUUUAUCUAGACAUGUCUUAGUAUAUAGGUACAUCCAUUUUUGGACAAAUGGAAGUCAAGUAUUUUGGAACGGAGGGAGUACACA